UACGAGAGGCCCAAGCGUUAUUCGGAAUUACUGGGCUUAAAGAGUUCGUAGGCGGCAUGAAAAGUAGGGUGUGAAAGCCCUCGGCUCAACCGAGGAAUUGCGCUCUAAACUGUCGUGCUAGAGGAACCUAGAGGUGAGCAGAACUGAUGGUGGAGCGGUGAAAUGCGUUGAUAUCAUCAGGAAUACCGGAGGCGAAGGCGGCUCACUGGGGGUUUUCUGACGCUGAGGAACGAAAGCCAGGGGAGCGAACGGG
rnacentral:rRNA from 1 species